UUAAAGGAAUUGACGGGGCCCGCACAAGUGGUGGAGCAUGUGGUUUAAUUCGACGCAACGCGAAGAACCUUACCAGGGCUUGACAUCCCCUGACCGCGUAUGAAAGUACGUUUUCACCCUCGGGUGACAGGGAGACAGGUGGUGCAUGGUUGUCGUCAGCUCGUGUCGUGAGAUGUUGGGUUAAGUCCCGCAACGAGCGCAACCCCUACGUUUAGUUGCUAACGCGUGAAGGCGAGCACUCUAGACGAACUGCCGUUGACAAAACGGAGGAAGGUGGGGAUGACGUCAAAUCAUCAUGCCCCUUAUGUUCUGGGCUACACACGUGCUACAAUGGCCGGUACAGACGGACGCAAAGCCGCGAGGUGGAGCAAAUCCUAAAAAGCCGGUCUCAGUUCGGAUUGCAGGCUGCAAUUCGCCUGCAUGAAGUCGGAAUCGCUAGUAAUCGCAGGUCAGCAUACUGCGGUGAAUACGUUCCCGGGCCUU
rnacentral:rRNA from 1 species